UUUUACUUAUCGUGCGCCAGAAGCGCCUAUUGUGAACGUUACUCUUAACUGUUGCCUCGGCGGGUUCACGCCCCGGGUGCUGUCGCAGCCCCGGAACCAGGCGCCCGCCGGAGGAACCAACCAAUACUCGUUUCUGUAGUCCCCUCGCGGACGUAUUUCUUACAUGCUCUGAGCAAAAAUUCAAAUAUGAAUCAAAACUUUCAAUCAACGGAUCUCUUGGUUCUGGCAUCGAUGAAGAACGCAGCGAAAUGCGAUAAGUAAUGUGAAUUGCAGAAUUCAGUGAAUCAUCGAAUCUUUGAACGCACAUUGCGCCCGCCAGUAUUCUGGCGGGCAUGCCUGUCCGAGCGUCAUUUCAACCCUCGAACCCCUCCGGGGGAUCGGCGUUGGGGAUCGGGACCCACUCACACGGGUGCCGGCCCCGAAAUACAGUGGCAGGUCUCGCCGCAGCCUCUCCUGCGCAGUAGUUUGCACAACUCGCACCGGGAGCGCGGCGCGUCCACGUCCGUAAAACACCCAACUUUCUGAAAUGUUAACCUCGAGGCAGUUAGGUAACCCGCUGAU
rnacentral:rRNA from 1 species